CAGUAGCCGCGGGAAAACGGAGGGUGCAAGCGUUAAUCGGAAUUACUGGGCGUAAAGCGUGCGUAGGCGGUUCGUUAAGUCUGUUGUGAAAGCCCCGGGCUCAACCUGGGAACUGCAUUUGUGACUGUAUAGCUAGGGUACGGUAGAGGGGGAUGGAAUUCCGCGUGUAGCAGUGAAAUGCGUAGAUAUGCGGAGGAACACCGAUGGCGAAGGCAAUCCCCUGGACCUGUACUGACGCUCAUGCACGAAAGCGUGGGGAGCAAACAGGAUUAGAUACCCCCGUAGUCCCUGUCUCUUAUAC
rnacentral:rRNA from 1 species